rnacentral:rRNA from 1 species
CACGCAGGCGGCCAACCAAGUCUGACGUGAAAGCUCCUGGCUUAACUGGGAGAGGUCGUUGGAAACUGAUUGGCUUGAGGCAAUGAGGAGGGGUACGGAAUUCCAGGUGUAGUGGUGGAAUGCGUAGAUAUCUGGAGGAACAUCAGUGGCGAAAGCGGUACCCUGGCAUUGACCUGACGCUCAUGUGCGAAAGCGGUGGGGAGCGAACG